AUGGCAAGCAGAGGCCCCCUUGGCGUACAUAUGCCUUAUUAUGACACAGUAUAUAUCACGACUCACUGCUGUACAGAUGACGAUGAUGUUAAUAAAUACAAAACUGGAGGUUGCAAUGUAUCUAUCCUGUGGUAAUUUGGGUUAAGCGUAGUAACUAGUUGUUUGUUGAUAGCAUAUCUUACAAGAUCACCAUUCAUUUAGGAUUCGGCAUCAGAUUAACAUAACAUGAAAAGAAGGACG
rnacentral:lncRNA from 1 species